GAUGAACGCUGGCGGCGUGCCUAAUACAUGCAAGUCGAGCGAACAGACGAGGAGCUUGCUUCUCUGACGUUAGCGGCGGACGGGUGAGUAACACGUGGAUAACCUACCUAUAAGACUGGGAUAACUUCGGGAAACCGGAGCUAAUACCGGAUAAUAUUUUGAACCGCAUGGUUCAAUAGUGAAAGACGGUUUUGCUGUCACUUAUAGAUGGAUCCGCGCUGCAUUAGCUAGUUGGUAAGGUAACGGCUUACCAAGGCAACGAUGCGUAGCCGACCUGAGAGGGUGAUCGGCCACACUGGAACUGAGACACGGUCCAGACUCCUACGGGAGGCAGCAGUAGGGAAUCUUCCGCAAUGGGCGAAAGCCUGACGGAGCAACGCCGCGUGAGUGAUGAAGGUCUUCGGAUCGUAAAACUCUGUUAUUAGGGAAGAACAUAUGUGUAAGUAACUAUGCACGUCUUGACGGUACCUAAUCAGAAAGCCACGGCUAACUACGUG
rnacentral:rRNA from 1 species